ensembl:lncRNA
CUGCUCUCAAAUCAUCAAGACAACUGAGGCUUUGAGGAUUUGCUAUGAAACUUUCAACAGAAGGAACUCCCGUGGAUGAAUUACAUUGUUCUUUAUGGAAAAGAUGAAAACUUUCUUUGUGGCUCUCAUGGUUAUUGGCUAUUUCUCAUAUAUUUUUGGUAACAUCGGAGAUAAGGACAAAUCUAAAGUGAAUAGUCAAGUUUAAAAAGGCAGCCAAUUCAAGGAAACUUAAAAAAAUGGCACCUGAAUUCGGAAGAAGUCAUGAACCAAGUGACUGAAAUUUGGGAAACAUUACUGUAAGUAAUGGGAGAGACGGAAGUUUUGUACACAGGGCAGUAGCCGGAAAAACUGGAUAUAUGGAUAGACUGUGAUCUGAACCUAUGGAGUAGGGAAUUGGGACAGCUCAUUCCUAAUCUGCUCAUUACAGAAUUCUCAUGAACUUUACAAGUCUCCCUGUUGCCUGCAGACAAAUUGUUCUGUCAGUCAAGUUCCUCUAAGACUAGCUUACUCCAACUCUGGUAAUAUUGAAGAAAUCAAAAUAAAAUGGGGGAGAUACUGGUAAAAUUUGAACCUGGUAACUUCUUCCCUCACUAUUCCAGCUUCCAAAUCUCCAAAAGACUGAACUAUAGCCAGUGCCAGGGUAGGAGCACUCAGGGUGUCCCAAUCUAGGCACAAGAGUUAAUGGAGGGUGGGUUUGGAUAAACUAAAAUAACUCCGGAGUCACCUGAGCAGUGGUUGUAGUCAGUUAUUCCCAGACAUGGGAAUAAUGACAUGGGUACAGUCAUUAUUGCUACUCCUCAAAAUAAUCUACUUCUCCAAGAAGUUACAGAUAUAAGACAGUCAAGGACCAGGGCUACAUAGCCUCAGCUGCCUUUCAGAAUGAAAAUUGCAAAGACUCUGACUGCUGAAUUUAAGAUAAGAAAGUUUUCAUGUUUGAAUUUUAAAGGAAGACAUAUUUUAUCAUUAUCUCCUCUGUGCACAAAGUUAAACACCCAAGUACUUAUAGUAGAAGCCAUUAAGAGAACAUGUUGGGUAGAGAGUUUGACCUAUGAGUUUUGUUUUAGGACAUUUCGUGCAGUUAUUAUCAAAAGAAGACUGUACAACAGAAACACAUAUGCUCCAUAAGAGUCAGCCCAAUAUGUGCCUCUAAUAAUGUUACAUAUUCUAACUCCUGCAUGUACUGCUUUGCUAAAAUGUAAGUGAAAACACCAGCCCCCAAACAGAACCCUCUUUUGAAAAUCUAUCGUGUAGCUGACUGAUAACACUUCUACAUAUUUUGGAAAAUGUAUGUGAACUCAUUAAGAUGUGAUUCUCUAAACUAAAAACAAUGUCAUUGGAAUUUCUGCUGUACUUAUUGAACCCAAGGGGUGUGGGGUAACUGAGAUUUUGAGUCCCACCUCCGAUUCUAGCAGAGAACCUUCCCUUUAACAGCACUGAACAUUAGGUUUCAAUAUGAUUUUAUGAGGAAAAGAUUUUGUUCCUAAAAUGUUUGAAAACCAUAGUUGUAAGACAAAUCACUCUUUUCAAGACAACAUAUCAACAAGUCUGAGGACGUUGGAUUAGGUCCCAUCCCUGUGGUUAAGUGAUACUGAGAAAU